AACGAACGCUGGCGGCACGUUUUAAGCAUGCAAGUCGAAUGGCAGUGGGGGCAACCCCAUGAGAAUGGCGAACGGGUGAGUAACACGUAGGUGAUCCGCCUGACGGAUGGGGAUAGCUCGUGGAAACACAGGGUAAUACCGAAUGAGCUGACGAGACUUUGGUUUUGUUAGUAAAGGUGCUCCGGCACCGCCGACAGAGGAGCCUGCGGCUGAUUAGCUAGUUGGGGGGGUAAAGGCCUACCACGGCGACGAUCAGUAGCCGGCCUGAGAGGGUGUACGGCGAAACUGGGACUGAGACACGGUCCGAACGCCUACGGGAGGCAGCAGCUAAGAAGCUUCCGCAAUGGGCGAAAGCCUGAUGGAGCGAUGCCGCGGGAUCGAUGAAGGUCGAGGGAUUGUAAAGAUCUGUUGUGCGGGAGGAAUAAGGCUGGGAGGGAAUGCCUGAAUGAUGACGGUAGUGUAGGAGUAAGCCCCGGCUAAUUACGUGCCAGCAGCCGCGGUAA
rnacentral:rRNA from 1 species